rnacentral:tmRNA from 1 species
GGGCUUGUACUGGUUUCGACAGGGAUCUCGAAGAUGGAGAAGCUAUCCGUAGGCUGAUGCGUUAAAUCGCAAACUUAAAAUUAAACGCUAACGAUAAUUUCGAAUUAGCUGCAGCCUAAAUGCUGCAUGUCAGCCCUGAAGCACUCACACUUUAGGAAUCUGGCACCGACUAUGUGAGAAACGAUGACGGCAAAGCUUUGAGCUGUCAGGCGUAUUAUGAAGCUACUGAACCCGUAAGGAUGUUAGUUUUCGUACGGCAGAGGGAAUGUUAAAUAACUGACUAUGAUAGUAGAAGUACAUGGGACAGGUUUUUGGACGCGGGUUCGAUUCCCGCCAGGUCCAC